CCCUUAGAUGUUCUGGGCCGCACGCGCGCUACACUGAUGCAUUCAACGAGCCUAUCCUUGACCGACAGGUCCGGGUAAUCUUUGAAUCUGCAUCGUGACGGGGAUAGAUUAUUGCAAUUAUUAAUCUUCAACGAGGAAUGCCUAGUAGGCGCAAGUCAUCAGCUUGCGUCGAUUACGUCCCUGCCCUUUGUACACACCGCCCGUCGCACCUACCGAUUGAAUGGUCCGGUGAAAUCUUUGGACUGUGGCAUUGUGGAUCUUCGGAUUUACGUUGCUGUGGGAAGUUGAUUAAACCUUACCAUUUAGAGGAAGGUGAAGUCGUAACA
rnacentral:rRNA from 1 species